ensembl:lncRNA
GUUGCAAUGGUCGUUAUGAGUAUGGUACUUUAAUCAGAAUUCAAGUGGUGUAACUAUUCCAAUGGAUAAAAUGAUACAGAGGGGUUCCAUAAACAGGAAGUAGUAUUAUACAGUACAGGAAGUAGUAUUAUACAGUACAGAGGUUCCAUAAACAGGAAGUAGUAUUAUACAGUACAGAGAGGUUCCAUAAACAGGAAGUAUUAUUAUACAGUACAGAGAGGUUCCAUAAACAGGAAGUAGUAUUAUACAGUACAGAGAGGUUCCAUAAACAGGAAGUAGUAUUAUACAGUACAGAGAGGUUCCAUAAACAGGAAGUAGUAUUAUACAGUACAGAGGGGUUCCAUAAACAGGAAGUAGUAUUAUACAGUACAGAGAGGUUCCAUAAACAGGAAGUAGUAUUAUACAGUACAGAGAGGUUCCAUAAACAGGAAGUAGUAUUAUACCGUACAGAGAGAUUCCAUAAACAGGAAGUAGUAUUAUACAGUACAGAGAGGUUCCAUAUACAGGAAGUAGUAUUAUACAGUACAGAGGUUCCAUAAACAGGAAGUAGUAUUAUACAGUACAGAGAGGUUCCAUAAACAGGAAGUAGUAUUAUACAGUACAGAGAGGUUCCAUAAACAGGAAGUAGUAUUAUACAGUACAGAGAGGUUCCAUAAACAGGAAGUAGUAUUAUACAGUACAGAGAGGUUCCAUAUACAGGAAGUAGUAUUAUACAGUACAGAGGUUCCAUAAACAGGAAGUAGUAUUAUACAGUACAGAGAGGUUCCAUAAACAGGAAGUAGUAUUAUACAGUAUAGUCUAACAUCUGAACUCUCUCACUGAGGUUUGUGCCUUUAAUGUACCAGGUAUCCCUCCCUAAACCCUCCAUAGACCCUCCAUACCCUCCAUAUACCCUUCCAUAGACCCUCCAUAGACCCUCCAUAGACCCUCCAUAGACACUACUGUAAUGUCCUCUAUCAGAAUACAUCAACCAUCCAUAGACCCUCCAUAGACCCUCCAUAGAUAUACCCUCCAUCCAUAGACCCUCCAUAGACCCUCCAUAGACCCUCCAUAGACACUACUGUAAUGUCCUCUAUCAGAAUACAUCAACCAUCCAUAGACCCUCCAUAGACCCUCCAUAUACCAUCCAUAGACCCUCCAUAGAUCCUCCAUAGACCCUCCAUAGACCCUCCAUAGACCCUCCAUAGACCCUCCAUAUACCCUCCAUAGACCCUCCAUAGACCAUCCAUAGACCCUCCAUAGACACUACUGUAACCCUCUAUCAGAAUACAUCAACCAUCCAUAGACCCUCCAUAGACCCUCCAUAGACCCUCCAUAUACCAUCCAUAGACCCUCCAUAGACCAUCCAUAUACCCUCCAUAGACCCUCCAUAGACCCUCCAUAGACCCUCCAUAUACCCUCCAUAGACCCUCCAUAGACCCUCC